UACAGAGGGUGCAAGCGUUGUUCGGAUUCAUUGGGCGUAAAGGGUGCGUAGGCGGCGCGGUAAGUCGGGUGUGAAAUCUCGGAGCUUAACUUCGAAACUGCAUUCGAUACUGCUGUGCUUGAGGACUGGAAAGGAGACUGGAAUUUACGGUGUAGCGGUGAAAUGCGUAGAUAUCGUAAGGAAGACCAGUGGCGAAGGCGGGUCUCUGGACAGUUCCUGACGCUGAGACACGAAGGCCAGGGGAGCAAACGGG
rnacentral:rRNA from 1 species